AUUCACCGACUACACAACGAAUUAGUGACUAUGAGAAAUAGAGAGGAUCCAGACACCCGCGGGAGAAGACUCCACCCAUAAACUCCCUCUUUCCACGGGAGCAUCCCUCUUGCCAAGUUCUUCGUAUUGGCCAGAGCCCACAACGCCCUCUAGCUAUCUUAUCCCUCCCUUUUCUCUUCAUUUCCUCACGAUCUCUCAGUGAUCGGACCGAUUGCGAAGG
ensembl:ncRNA T04C12.16 ncRNA